rnacentral:rRNA from 1 species
CUACGGAGGGUGCAAGUGUUAUUCGGAAUCACUGGGCGUAAAGGACGCGUAGGCGGGUUGGCAAGUCAGAUGUGAAAUCCUACAGCUUAACUGUAGAACUGCAUUUGAAACUGCUAACCUAGAGUAUGCGAGGGGGAGAUGGAAUUAGUGGUGUAGGGGUAAAAUCCGUAGAUAUCACUAGGAAUACCGAAAGCGAAGGCGAUCUCCUGGAACAUAACUGACGCUAAGGCGUGAAAGCGUGGGGAGCAAACAGAAUUAGAAACCCUAGUAGUCC